UUUAAGGUCUAAUCUGCCCUAUGAGGAUUUAAAUGGCCGCGGUAUUUUGACCGUGCAAAGGUAGCAUAAUAAUUAGUUUUUUAAUUGAGAGCUAGCAUGAAUGAUUGGACGAGAAAAUAACUGUCUCAAUUUAAUUUAAUUAGAAUUUUAUUUUUAAGUAAGAAAGCUUAAAUAUUAUUAAAAGACGAGAAGACCCUAUAGAGUUUUAUUAUUAGAUAAUUAUAAGUUUUUUAGUUUGAUUAUACUAUUAUUUGUUUAAUAAUUUUGUUGGGGCGAUAGAAAAAUUUUAUAAACUUUUUUUUUAAUAACCAUUAAUUUAUGUUUAAUUGAUCCAUUUUUUAUGAUUAUAAGAUUAAAUUACCUUAGGGAUAACAGCGUAAUUUUUUUUUAGAGUUCUUAUCGAAAGAAAAGAUUGCGACCUCGAUGUUGGAUUAAAAUUAAUGUUGGGUGUAGUAGCUUAAUAAUUAGGUCUGUUCGACCUUUGAAAUUUUACAUGAUCUGAGUUUAAACCGGCGUGAGCCAGGUUGGUUUCUAUCUUUAAUUAGUUGAAAUAUUUUAGUACGAAAGGACCAAGUAUUUAUAAUAGUUUAUUUAAUUUUGAUUAAUAUUAG
rnacentral:rRNA from 1 species